rnacentral:rRNA from 1 species
CCUACGGGAGGCAGCAGUGGGGGAUAUUGCACAAUGGGGGAAACCCUGAUGCAGCGACGCCGCGUGAGUGAAGAAGUAUUUCGGUAUGUAAAGCUCUAUCAGCAGGGAAGAAAAUGACAGUACCUGACCAAGAAGCCCCGGCUAACUACGUGCCAGCAGCCGCGGUAAUACGUAGGGGGCAAGCGUUAUCCGGAUUUACUGGGUGUAAAGGGAGCGUAGACGGUUAUGUAAGUCUGGAGUGAAAGCGCGGGGGCCAACCCCGGGACUGCCUUGGAAACUGUGUAACUGGAGUACAGGAGGGGCAGGCGGAAUUCCUGGUGUAGCGGUGAAAUGCGUAGAUAUCAGGAGGAACACCGACGGCGAAGGCGGCCUGCUGGACUGAAACUGACGUUGAGGCUCGAAAGCGUGGGGAGCGAACAGGAUUAGAUACCCGAGUAGUC